CCUACGGGGGGCAGCAGUGGGGAAUAUUGGACAAUGGGCGAAAGCCUGAUCCAGCCAUGCCGCGUGUGUGAAGAAGGCCUUCGGGUUGUAAAGCACUUUCAGUGGGGAAGAAAGCCUUGAGGCUAAUACCCUCGAGGAAGGACAUCACCCACAGAAGAAGCACCGGCUAACUCCGUGCCAGCAGCCGCGGUAAUACGGAGGGUGCGAGCGUUAAUCGGAAUUACUGGGCGUAAAGCGCGCGUAGGCGGUCUGAUAAGCCGGUUGUGAAAGCCCCGGGCUCAACCUGGGAACGGCAUCCGGAACUGUCAGGCUAGAGUGCAGGAGAGGAAGGUAGAAUUCCCGGUGUAGCAGUGAAAUGCGUAGAGAUCGGGAGGAAUACCAGUGGCGAAGGCGGCCUUCUGGACUGACACUGACGCUGAGGUGCGAAAGCGUGGGUAGCAAACAGGAUUGGAUACCCGGGUAGUC
rnacentral:rRNA from 1 species